rnacentral:rRNA from 1 species
AUUGAACGCUGGCGGCAGGCCUAACACAUGCAAGUCGAACGGUAACAGGAAGACGCUUGCUUCUUUGCUGACGAGUGGCGGACGUGUGAGUAAUGUCUGGGAAACUGCCUGAUGGAGGGGGAUAACUACUGGAAACGGUAGCUAAUACCGCAUAACGUCGCAAGACCAAAGAGGGGGACCUUCGGGCCUCUUGCCAUCGGAUGUGCCCAGAUGGGAUUAGCUAGUAGGUGGGGUAACGGCUCACCUAGGCGACGAUCCCUAGCUGGUCUGAGAGGAUGACCAGCCACACUGGAACUGAGACACGGUCCAGACUCCUACGGGAGGCAGCAGUGGGGAAUAUUGCACAAGGGGCGCAAGCCUGAUGCAGCCAUGCCGCGUGUAUGAAGAAGGCCUUCGGGUUGUAAAGUACUUUCAGCGGGGAGGAAGGGUGUAAAGUUAAUACCUUUGCUCAUUGACGUAACACGAAGAAGAAGCACCGGCUAACUCCGU